rnacentral:tRNA from 1 species
AGUUAUAGAGCUACAUCAGAAAAGCAUGUGUUUUGAAAACACAAAGAAAGGAGUUAAAAUCUCCUAGUAACUU